rnacentral:rRNA from 1 species
UAGUCCACGCCCUAAACGAUGCUAACUCGAUGUUUGGGUCUUGAACUUGAGCAUCCAAGGGAAACCGUUAAGUUAGCCACCUGGGGAGUACGUUCGCAAGAAUGAAACUCAAAGGAAUUGACGGGGUCCGCACAAGCGGUGGAGCAUGUGGUUUAAUUCGAUGAUACGCGAGGAACCUUACCUGGGCUCUAAUGUGACUGCUAUCUGGUGAAAGCCGGAGUUCCUUCGGGACGCGAAGCAAGGUGCUGCAUGGUUGUCGUCAGCUCGUGCCGUGAGGUGUCAGGUUAAGUCCUAUAACGAGCGCGACCCCUAUUCUUAGUUGCCAGCACAUAAUGGUGGGGACUCUAGGAAGACUGCCUCCGUAAGGAGUGAGGAAGGCGGGGACGACGUCAAAUCAUCAUGGCCUUUAUGCCCAGGGGCUACACACGUGCUACAAUGGCAAGUACAGAGGGGCUGCUAACCCGCGAGGGGUAUGGCUAAUCCCAGAAAGCUUGUCCCAGUUCGGGAUCGGGA